GUAACGUACGCCUGACGAGGCGACGCGAGAGGUAAACAUGGCGGACAGCGACGGCGACAGUGAAGGCGGCAGCAUGUAUCCGUUGCACGAAAACGUAUUUCUAGGCGAUGUCCGUCGUGUUUCGGCGCUCCUGAGGACGCACGACGUCGCGCAGAAGGACGUUCACGGAAACACGCCACUUCACUUGGCUGUCAUGCUGGGUCAGAAGGAGUGUGUGCAACUACUUUUGGCACACAAUGCUCCUGUCAAAGUGAAGAACAGCCAAGGUUGGAACUGCCUAGCAGAAGCUGUCAGUUACGGGGAUCGUCAGACAAUACUCUCCCUGUUACGGAAACUCAAGCAGCAGUCACGGGAAGCAAUGGACUUUCGUAGGCCAGAUCUCGUGCGUAUUUUGGAACUCAUGGGCGAUUUUUACAUUGAGCUCAAGUGGGACUUCCAAAGUUGGAUACCAUUGGUCUCAAGGAUACUGCCAUCAGACAUCUGUAAAAUUCACAAAAAAGGAUCAAAUAUUCGGUUAGACACAACACUCGUCGACUUCAACGACAUGAAAUGGGAGCGCGGUGACAUCACUUUUCUUUUUACGGGCAACGACAAACCGUCCAAGUCGCUAACAGUGCUGGACAACAAUCUGAAGGUCUACCAGAAUGUCCGUUACGAGGAUACAGAAACCGAGAUUGAAGAUGAGGUGGACAUACUAAUGAGCAGUGACAUUGUGGCCGGCCAGAUCUCAACCAAGACUGUGACCUUCCAGAGGGCACAGUCCGGCUGGCUGAUGCGGGAGGACAAAACCGAGAUGGUCGGGAAGUUUCGAGCAGAUUUCUACAGCAUCAAUGGCCUAACAUUCGAGUCUCGAAAAAGGAGGGAGCACCUCACCGAGGAAGAUCUUCACAAGAACAGGGCAAUAAUCGAGAGCUUUACGAGAGGCAAUGCGACGGUCCUAGAAAAUGCAGAGCCGCAGCGGAGAAAGUCACUACCUCCGCCUCCACAAAGAGACGUCACGUUUGAAGAUUACAUCUCGGCUACACCGGGAAACCCGCCCAUUCUGGGGCGAACACCAGUCAGCAAGACAACUACCAAAGUUUUCAAGGCCACCUUGGCCAUGAGUCAACAUUUCCCCCUCACUGUAAAUUCCCUCCUAAAUGUGCUGGAAGUGAUAGCGCCAUUCAAACACUUCAACAAGCUUCGGGAGUUUGUACAGAUGAAGCUACCUCCUGGUUUUCCUGUUAAAAUAGAUAUACCAAUUCUACCUACGGUGACUGCCCGGAUCACGUUCCAGGAUUUCGAGUUUCGGGACAACAUAGAUGAUGCACUUUUUGAGAUCCCCACAAAUUACGCGGAGGACCGCAACCGAUUCCCAGACUUAUGAUGCCUGGACGACUUGCUUUUGGUGACUUUCGAAGAACGCCACCGCGUUGUCAUGACGCGGCGACCUCGUCUGACCCCUUCCUCCCGCGUCGUCCGCCAUCGCCAUCGUCCCAUGUGCGUCGAAGUUGUCGCACUGGACAUUCCUGUCACACUCGGUCAUGGCAGCACGUUCUCCUCAACGUUGUCUGUCGUCGUCGAUGUGUGAUGCCUCCCCCUUUCCGGCUGCCCUCAACAUUCCCAUCGUGCUCGCAGAAGCAGUUUCUAGAUUUGUGUCGGUGCUGAUGUGCGAUGCCCCCAACACCACACCACCCUGUCCUUCUCCCAUGAGGUUAAGUCAACUUGCCCUGGACAUUCCCAUCACAUUAACUUGCAGCCGCACUUAUCUCCUCAACAUUGUUUGUCAUCUUUGACAUGUGGUCCCUCGGCCUUCCAUCAGAGAGCAAGCCUCAUCCCCACUUUUCAGAGGCUGAGGUCACCUGUCCGUACCCAUCGUUUCCAACACUCCUGCGCCCCUCCAAAGGUGCGUAAAGACUCCUUUAGUUGUCCUCAUCGUCUGUCAAACACAUACCAUGUGGAUUGCUAGAGAGUGCUGCCUGGCGUGUCUCUCUCGUCAACCCUUGUUCCUGCCUUGAUGGGCUUUCCGGACAAACAAAUGGCAUUGCGUGCUGUGUGAAUCGUUGGCGAUGUCAUGACGACUCUAUGCGGAGCCCUGCAGGGCAUGGCUCUCCAAGUUUAUUCUCAUGCUUUCUUUUUUUUUUUUUUUUUUUUUUACGAAUGGCCUCGUGUAUGGGGUUAUUCUUGCAGUGCACAUAUUGCUGCGUUUGUCCUUGCUCUGACAAGAACACAGCUUUGUCGAUAGCACCUACGUACGAUGCAUGACUUCUGCAAGCUUUGAUGACAGAUUGUGUUUUUAUAACAAGGUGGCUUUCUUUUUUUUAUUAUUGCAUUUAUCGCUGCUCAAUCGUAAUGGCUAACACGGAAAUGUUGGGCUUUCUGGUUCAUCUAGGUUUUAGAAAUGACUGAAACGACUCAACUCUGACUAGCCCUGCAUUUCUACGCCGACAGUGGACCAACCCUAUUAAAAGAAAAAAAAAAAACCUGUGCGCAUUCUCAUGGCUCCUGUGUCUUCUGAACUAUUCUCACGGAAAACAUCGAGAGUCCUGCCAUUUACGUGUGGGUAAUGCGGAGAAUGUGGAAUUAUGAGAAUCCGUACGAAUCCUUUUCAGUAGGGGAAUGCAGGCAAUAUUCCUCAGCUUUUUUUCUUUCCAGGCUAGCCACUUGUUUUGAAAAAUGGCUAUCAGAUCUGUAGACUUCCGUCUUGUCAAGUUUGCAAGCUUCUAUUUUUAACCUAAAGUGAUGAGUGUAACUAUAGUGCCAACCAUCAUCAUGUCAUACAUAAAAAGCUGAGACGACAAAGUAAUUACCUCAGUGGUUUACUCUUAAAGGCGGUAAGACACGUUGCGUUAUAGCCAUUGUACAAUGUUGCAGAAUGCCGAAACCAUUACCAAAGCCAGGAUGUUGUUUGAAAGCAUGCUCCUACUGUAUGUAAGCUGGUGACCUGCGAGAGCACUUUGAAUUUAAGCGAAGUGGUUUGUCGUAAGCGCUCUGCAUCAAACUUUGCACCUACGCGCUAACAAGUGACAGUUUACAGACGAAAGUCGUGAACAAAUCUUUUAUCGCUGCCUUGGUUGCAGCCUCACUUUGUUCUUGUUUGUUGCUGUGACACCUUCAUCACCUUGAGCACUGUCGUACCUUACCAGUACAUUUACCACAUUGCUAAUCUGGAUGUUGCAAAACAGGUUACUGUAAACAGAGUGUUACAAGAAUGGUGCAGCAUAAAUGCAUACGUGUAAAUGUUCUUUCAACUUAACAGUUGGCUUGCGAAGCAUUUUGUCUCAUAGAUGAUUGUGCGAGUGGCUCAUUUGUUACACAACUGUGAACAGGUGUUAAGUGUGGCUGGCAAUGUUAUGUCGGUUGUGUGCUUAAGCAUAAGUUGCUGCUAAACUCUGACAACAGGUGUGGAGUCUGUUCCUACAUUGUGCGAUGUGCUCCGCUAAAGCAAGGGGGGAUGUGUACUCGUUUGCGUCUGAUGUGCUGCACCUUCGAGGCCGUGGCGUAUGGCUAUCUCCCUUGGCAAGCGUACAUGGCAUGGCUACCGAGAGAUAACUGCACUCCCUCAUUUCUUGUCAAGUACAUCAUAGACAUGGUGCUAAUGAAACUUUGCGUUGCAUUGGAUUUCUUGAAAGCUGGCCUUGUUGCCGAAAUUCAUAUUCUUGAAAACUCCUUGAUCUUCAGCCACAGUAAUGCUUGCUUGUGUGUGCAUGUGUGCGUGUGGUAUCUCAGCAGUCUCUCUGCUUUAUCUUGUGUGAGGCAAAGUUCCGAAGUUUGCGUCAUGAUAAAACGUGUGCCAUGCGUUUGUACACUUGUACUUACAGUUUUGCAGCUCCAGCUGCUACAUGUAGCUGCUGAUCAUUGAGCAUUGUUUGUGACUACUGUGCAAAUUCUACUCCGACUUGAGUAGCCCACUUGAGGCUACUUUUUGCCCGUUGUUUUUGUUUUAUUUCAUGAGGGAAGCUUUAGGGAAUACUUCCUUCUGACCUACUAUGCGACAUACCUUUUACGUAUUUGCUAACGCUGCAUUUCAGCUGAUGUAAAAGCUGUUGCAGUAUUUCGUGAGGCGAGCUUGUGUUGCAGCUUUUAUCUGAAAACAUUUACUAGUGUUCCGGGCCUGCAAUUUGCAACAUUCGUGGUGCCUCGAGCUCCGGGCCCGUACUUUGCAAUGUUCCACUUCAUUUACCAUUCUUUCUUUCUUAUCAGGCGUCGUGGUGAGUGGCCUGUCCCAGCGAUAAUGCUGGCUUCCAACCCGCGUUGGAGCCAACAACAAAACGCAGAAAGAAUGAAAAAUGAAUUGAUUAUUUGAAAUUG
rnacentral:misc_RNA from 1 species